AGGGAGUGGUGUAGUCUCUGGAGAUAGUCUAUCCAGACUUUGAAACCCCUGAUGAAAUCGCAUGUCCCCUGAGGUGGGAGUGUCUCCCUGACUGACCAGACCAUUGACUUUUGAGCUCCCUGGCCCCUCUCUCUGUGGAUACCUCUCCUGUGUCCUUCUUACUUAGUAUAGCUUCUAGCCUGCUAACUCCACUGGUUUCUCCAUGGCAGAGCUGAGCUCCUCACUGCCCCUGAACGGUGACCACGGGCCUGGAGUCCUCCGGGGGCCACCCCUUCUUUAGAGCGAAUUUUCUUUGGUCGCAGCUGCAGCUGACAGAUUCCUCUGCGGAGAGCAACCGCCUUUGGAAAACUGGGAGUUCUCCUAAUAGAGAUGAAAAGAAGGUGUGUUAUGAACCCACAUUGGCAGCUAAUGAGUGGGUUUCCACUGUGUGACUAAGGUACCCGGUGUCAUUUGUGACUCCCGCCCAUCCUUUGGGUCAUCUCCGAGGAUUUCUCUGCUGGGCCAGCAGCUGAUAUUCAGGAUGAGCAAAUGCCUUGGCUCACCCUGCUUUUGUGUCACGAUUCAAGCGACAAUGAGCUAACCAUGCUGAGUGUCCUUUUUACCGCUUGAGUUGUUCCUUCUCCCGUUGCUGGGUCUUUGUCAGAGAGUCCUUUGUCGCUUUCGAAAGUGUGAUUUCGUAGGAAAUAAAAGAACAGCGCGACCAUAGUUAGUGCUGCUGGUAAAGGGCUGCCAGAGUCACUUCAUGAUGCCAGGGCGCGGGCUUGCUUUGGGAAACGGGACAGCCAAGGCCUUGGGAUCUCCAGAUUCUGCUUUCUCCAUCUCAGAAUCCAGUGAAAUGAAACCUGAGCCACACACACACCAGGCUCCUGCAGGCACCUGGCCCAUUUUCUGGAGUCUCGUGUGCCACAGCACUGAGUGCCUGCCUGUCCUCCUGACCGCUGGAGUUCAUCUCUCCCGGCCACAUGUCUUGAGAGCUCUCUCUCUCCUGCCCCAACUGGCCUCUACCUACAACAUGAAGUUGGUCCACAUGUGUGUCUCUCCCCUGCUGGACCUGCACUUCUGGAAUACGGAGCCAUUACUAAAGGCCAUCAAUCCCCCAUUAAGUAUUGAAUAC